rnacentral:rRNA from 1 species
GAUGAACGCUGGCGGCGUGCCUAAUACAUGCAAGUCGAGCGAACAGAUAAGGAGCUUGCUCCUUUGACGUUAGCGGCGGACGGGUGAGUAACACGUGGGUAACCUACCUAUAAGACUGGGAUAACUUCGGGAAACCGGAGCUAAUACUGGAUAAUAUUUCGAACCGCAUGGUUCGAUAGUGAAAGAUGGUUUUGCUAUCACUUAUAGAUGGACCCGCGCCGUAUUAGCUAGUUGGUAAGGUAACGGCUUACCAAGGCGACGAUCCGUAGCCGACCUGAGAGGGUGAUCGGCCACACUGGAACUGAGACACGGUCCAGACUCCUACGGGAGGCAGCAGUAGGGAAUCUUCCGCAAUGGGCGAAAGCCUGACGGAGCAACGCCGCGUGAGUGAUGAAGGUCUUCGGAUCGUAAAACUCUGUUAUUAGGGAAGAACAUACGUGUAAGUAACUGUGCACGUCUUGACGGUACCUAAUCAGAAAGCCACGGCUAACUACGUG